rnacentral:rRNA from 1 species
AUGUUGUUGGACAAUACUGAACCUACGAGCUAUGGAGAAGCGAUGGUAGGCCCAUAUUCCGACAAAUGGUUAGAAACCAUGAAAUCCGAGAUAAAUGGAUCUUUGAGAAGAAGACGGACGUGGACGGUAAUGUUACCGUCUAUGAAGCUCGACUUGUGGCAAAGAGUAUUUUCACAAGUUCAAGGAGUUGACUACGAUGAGUUUUUCUCAUCCGUAGCGAUGCUUAGGUCCGUCGGAAUCAUGUUAGCAUUAGCUACAUUUAUGAAAUCUGGCACAUGGAUGUCAAAACAAGUUUCCUUACCAGUUUUCGUAAGGAAAGGUUGUAUGUGA